AGCUUGUUGUGUGGACCCCACAUCCAGGCUGUCAGAACCUUCUUGUUGAACUUCCAAUUUUACCCUUCAAAAAAACUUUCACAUUACCCCUAUGACAGUCCAAUACCUCUCUCCACGUCACCAUCCUUUUCUUUCAUUUCCCUCACAAAACUAAACUGAGCCGACACUCUUCCACCAAACCAUAGUUACUCACUCUCUCUCUCUCCUCCCCCUCCCCUUUUCUUCUCCCCCUUCAUCUUCUUCAAUCUCCAAUUUAUUUUUCUCAGAAAUUAAUUUGACCAGAAUAAAUAAUAUAACAGAGAUCCACCCACAUUUUCGAUCUUCACCAUUGUUUGAACCUUGCUGAAAUGGGUAGCCUUAAUUUUAAUGGCUGCCUUCUAAUUUUCUCUCUCCUCUUCUUCUCCUCACUUUCUACCGCAUUGCCUGCUCGUCCUGCUAAAUCGACUUCUUCAUCGUCAACAAAUUCUAAUUCGGCUGUUCAAAUCAACUCGAACUCGGUUCUUGUUGCUUUGCUCGACUCGCAUUAUACUGAGCUAGCUGAGUUGGUUGAGAAGGCUCUUCUUCUUCAGAAGCUUGAGGAUGUUGUGGGUAAACAAAAUGUAACCAUCUUCGCACCGAGAAAUGAGGCUUUGGAACGCGAGUUAGACCCUGAGUUCAAGCGGUUCUUACUCGAACCCGGGAAUCUUCGCUCUCUUCAGACUCUUCUACUGUUUCAUGUUAUUCCAGCUCGAGUUAACUCUGAGGGUUGGCCGAGUCAUGACUCCAAUGGACGCCAUCACUUGACUCUUUCCAAUGACAAGGUCCAUUUGCAUCAGAACAAGAAAUCUGGGUUUAAAACCGUGGAUCUAGCCAAGGUUAUUCGGCCCAAUGAUAUUGUGCGGCCUGAUGGUGUGAUCCAUGGGAUUGAGCGUCUCCUAGUCCCGCAGUCGGUGCUGGAGGACUUCAAUCGGCGCCGCAACUUGAGGUCGAUUUCGGCGGUGAUUCCGCAGGGAGCGCCGGUGGUGGACCCGCGGACUAAUAAGCUGGUGAGGAAGAGUAAGAAGUCCGCGGGUCCCCCACCACCACCUGGCGCCCCGCCGGCACUCCCCAUCUAUGCCGCGAUGGCGCCAGGCCCCAGCCUGGCCCCGGCGCCCGCACCGGGGCCAGGUGGGUCUCACCACCAUUUCAACGGUGAAGCUCAAGUGAAGGAUUUCAUCACUACACUAGUACACUACGGAGGGUACAAUGAGCUAGCUGACAUCCUCGUCAACCUCACCUCCCUCGCCACUGAGAUGGGACGAUUAGUUUCAGAAGGAUAUGUAAUUACAGUAUUAGCCCCCAACGACGAGGCGAUGGCGAAGCUAACCACUGACCAAUUAUCCGAGCCCGGGGCGCCGGAGCAGAUCAUGUACUACCAUAUAAUACCGGAAUACCAAACGGAAGAAAGUAUGUACAAUGCAGUAAGAAGAUUUGGUAAGAUUAAGUAUGACACUUUGAGGUUGCCUCAUAAGAUGACCGCCGAAGAGGCGGACGGGUCGGUCAAAUUCGGGCAAGGAGAAGGUUCCGCCUAUUUAUUUGACCCGGAUAUUUAUACAGAUGGUAGGAUCUCUGUUCAAGGGAUUGAUGGAGUGUUGUUUCCUUUGGAAGAAAAAGAUGAUAAAAGUGAUUCUCUUCAAAAAUCUACUCGUGUUACUAAAGUUGUCUCCAAAACAAGAAGAGGGUUAUUGAUGCAAUCAACAUGUUGGGUGCUUGGCUCCGUGGGACAGCGCUUGAAUGCUUGCCAAUGAGCGAACACGCCGUCUCGAGGGUGACAGUUAGGCAUCACAAGAAACCACAAGAUGUAAAAUUGGUGACAAGUGAACAGCUUCAGAUGACUGCCUUUAGAGAGUGAUGUUAAUACAGUUUUCCUUUUUUAUUUUUUUAAUUUUUUUUUUACAAUAUAUUCAAGGGUUAAAAAGACCAUGUUUGGGGAGCCAAGGUCAGGAGGUGUGCAAUAUUAUUUCUUACCACUAUCAUCAAGAUUCCUGCAUAGCUCCCCCACAGGAGAGAAAGAAGCUGCUGUAGUUAUAAAUAUAUACAGUAAAAUUAUGUUAAGAUUAAAAAAAAAAAAAACUGUAAUUUUUUUUUUUUUUUUUACUUUUUAAUUUUUGUUAUUUGUUGGUGAUGGUGAAAGGUGUCGGUGGUGGUGGUGGGGGGAUAUUAGUUUUGUGUGAUGGGGUGGAGUUGGUGGGGGCCAAAGGUGAUAUUCACAUUCAGCAACUUUGGACCCCACUCCCCUUCUUAAUAAACAAAUUUGGAAAACACCCAGAUAAUAGUUUGUGCAUUUCAAUAAUAAUACUUAAAUUCAUUCUUUUGUGUUCAUAA